UCGGAAUCUUGAGAGCGGCGCACGGGUGCGGAACACGUGUGCAACCUGCCUUUAUCUGGGGGAUAGCCUUUCGAAAGGAAGAUUAAUACCCCAUAAUAUAAUGAACGGCAUCGUUUAUUAUUGAAAACUCCGGUGGAUAGAGAUGGGCACGCGCAAGAUUAGAUAGUUGGUGAGGUAACGGCUCACCAAGUCAAUGAUCUUUAGGGGGCCUGAGAGGGUGAUCCCCCACACUGGUACUGAGACACGGACCAGACUCCUACGGGAGGCAGCAGUGAGGAAUAUUGGACAAUGGGUGAGAGCCUGAUCCAGCCAUCCCGCGUGAAGGACGACGGCCCUAUGGGUUGUAAACUUCUUUUGUAUAGGGAUAAACCUUUCCACGUGUGGAAAGCUGAAGGUACUAUACGAAUAAGCACCGGCUAACUCCGUGCCAGCAGCCGCGGUAAUACGGAGGGUGCAAGCGUUAUCCGGAUUUAUUGGGUUUAAAGGGUCCGUAGGCGGACUCGUAAGUCAGUGGUGAAAUCUCAUAGCUUAACUAUGAAACUGCCAUUGAUACUGCGGGUCUUGAGUAAAGUAGAAGUGGCUGGAAUAAGUAGUGUAGCGGUGAAAUGCAUAGAUAUUACUUAGAACACCAAUUGCGAAGGCAGGUCACUAUGUUUUAAC
rnacentral:rRNA from 1 species